AUGUGUGACGAACUCUGCAUCACGUGGCAUGAUGUGUAGUAACCAGUCCUGUGAGCAUACACACACACAUACACAGAUGUGUACAC
rnacentral:miRNA from 1 species